UACAGAGGGUGCAAGCGUUAAUCGGAAUUACUGGGCGUAAAGCGUGCGUAGGCGGAUGCUUAAGUCAGAUGUGAAAGCCCUGGGCUUAACCUAGGAAUUGCAUCUGAUACUGGACAUCUAGAGUAUGGUAGAGGAUAGUGGAAUUUCAGGUGUAGCGGUGAAAUGCGUAGAUAUCUGAAGGAACACCAGUGGCGAAGGCGACUGUCUGGGCCAAUACUGACGCUGAGGUACGAAAGCAUGGGUAGCGAACAGG
rnacentral:rRNA from 1 species